rnacentral:rRNA from 1 species
UACGAGGGGGGGCGAGCGUUGUUCGGAAUUAUUGGGCGUAAAGGGUGCGUAGGCGGUUUGGUAAGUCUGAUGUGAAAUCUAUGGGCUCAACUCAUAGUCUGCAUCGGAAACUGCCGGGCUUGAGUAUGGGAGAGGUGAGUGGAAUUCCUGGUGUAGCGGUGAAAUGCGUAGAUAUCAGGAGGAACACCUGUGGCGAAAGCGGCUCACUGGACCAUAACUGACGCUGAUGCACGAAAGCUAGGGGGAGCAAACAGG